rnacentral:rRNA from 2 species
AGCAGUAGGGAAUCUUCCGCAAUGGACGAAAGUCUGACGGAGCAACGCCACGUGAGUGAUGAAGGUUUUCGGAUCGUACAGCUCUGUUGUUAGGGAAGAACAAGUGCGAGAGUAACUGCUCGCACCUUGACGGUACCUAACCAGAAAGCCACGGCUAACUACGUGCCAGCAGCCGCGGUAAUACGUAGGUGGCAAGCGUUGUCCGGAAUUAUUGGGCGUAAAGGGCUCGCAGGCGGUUUCUUAAGUCUGAUGUGAAAGCCCCCGGCUCAACCGGGGAGGGUCAUUGGAAACUGGGAAACUUGAGUGCAGAAGAGGAGAGUGGAAUUCCACGUGUAGCGGUGAAAUGCGUAGAGAUGUGGAGGAACACCAGUGGCGAAAGCAACUCUCUGGUCUGUAACUGACGCUAAGGAGCGAAAGCGUGGGGAGCGAACAGGAUUAGAUACCCUGGUAGUCCACGCCGUACACGAUGAGUGCUAAGUGUUAGGGGGUUUCCGCCCCUUAGUGCUGCAGCUAACGCAUUAAGCACUCCGCCUGGGGAAUACGGUCGCAAG